rnacentral:misc_RNA from 1 species
GAUGAAGAACGUAGCGAAAUGCGAUAAGUAAUGUGAAUUGCAGAAUUCAGUGAAUCAUCGAAUCUUUGAACGCACAUUGCGCCCCUUGGUAUUCCGAGGGGCAUGCCUGUUCGAGCGUCAUUAUAACCCCUCAAGCUCAGCUUGGUGUUGGGGCCUGCUGCACUGGCAGCCCUUAAAAUCAGUGGCGGCGCCAUCUGGCUCUAAGCGUAGUAAUUCUUCUCGGUAUGGAGUCCUGGUGGAUGCUUGCCAUCAACCCCCAAUUUUUCUAUGGUUGACCUCGGAUCAGGUAGGGAUACCCGCUGAACUUAAGCAUAUCAAUAAGCGGAGGA